GACCUUGUUAAUUUAAGGAAAAUUGACAUUUCAUGUUGCAAGAAUUUAAAGAAGAUUCCUAAUUUAUUAGGAGCUAUCAACCUUAAUUUCCUUAAUUUCUCUCACUGUAAAAGUUUGGUUGAACUUCCUUGCCUCAAUCAUUUGGUAUCUCUUCGUCAGGAUAAGCUUCGCCUUUUCGGAUGUUAUAGUCUCAAGAAGUUACCUCAGGUCCCAAGUCACUUUCGUCAUUUGAAUUUAUCAAGCACUAACAUAAAAGAAGUGCCCGAUUCAAUUGAACAUCUCCACAAGCUACAGAGAUUGUCAUUGAGCAAGUCAAAGGUAAAAAGGGUAUCCAUCAAUAUUUCAAAGUUGGAAUUCCUUCAUCAAUUGGAUCUUAGUGAUUGCCCAAUGAUUAAAUUUCCAGAAAUCCCAAGAAGCUUAACAGAAUUAAACUUAUCUGGCACUCAAAUUGAAGAAGUGUCCUUGCCUUUCGACUCCCUAUGUAAUCUUCGGAAUUUAAAUAUGAGGGCUCAAGGGUAAAAAAUGUAUCGAUCAAGUUGGAAUCCCUUCGUCAAUUGGAUCUUAGUGAUUGCCCAAUGAUUAAAUUUCCAGAAAUCCCAGGAAGCUUAACAGAAUUAAACUUAUCUGGCACUCAAAUUGAAGACGUGUUCUUGCCUUUUGACUCCCUAUGUAAUCUUCGGAAUUUAAAUAUGAGGGGCUCAAGAGUAAAAAAUGUAUCGAUCAAGUUGGAAUCCCUUCGUAAACUGAAUCUUAGUGAUUGCCCAAUGAUCAAAUUUCCAGAAAUCCCAAGAAGCUUAAUAGAAUUAAACUUAUCUGGCACUCAAAUUGAAGAAGUGUCAUUGCCUUUGGACUCUCUAUGUAAUCUUCGGGACUUAGAUAUGAGUGGCUCUGCGGUUAAAAAUGUAUCGAUCAAGUUGGAAUCUCUUCGUUAUCUGGAUCUUAGUGGUUGCCCAAUGGUCGAAUUUCCAGAAAUUCCAAGAAUUACAUGGGACUCUAAUCCAAGAAGUAUCCUCUUCUUUCCAAACUUUGGGUCUAGGAAGCACGAACACGGCUCAUCCCUCCUCCCAAUGUCGAACAUGUCCGAAACGGACACUUGUCGUACACGCCCAGAUACGUACGCGACACGCUGGAAUACGUCAAAGAAAAGGUCGGCCACGGUCAUGACACGGGUGUCUAAAAACAAACGCGUGAUAGAUGCAGAAAAAGUAGAUGAUUGUGACCGUAUCGAGUUGUACCCGUAUCGCGUGUUUGUGUCCAUCUUUGGGUUAUCUGGAGGACAUAAGUGGAACAAGGGUAAUAAGUGUGCCCUCACCAAGCUUGAGGUCUACAACCCUUAGGGAUAUGUGGAUGGAUGGUUACAAGAGCCUCAAUUUACUCUCAGAGCUUCCACCAUAUCUGCAAUACUUCGGUGUUCUUGAUUGCACAUCAUUAGAAAAGUAUCAUUUGCAUAUCAAAAUUUAUAUCAGUUUGAUGAUGAUAAUGAUGAUGAUGAUGAUGUUUCGCAUGCUAUUCUGUAAUUGCUUCAACUUGAAUCAAGAGUCAAUUGAUAAUAUUGAGGCAGCGAGAUAUGAUUGCAAAUACUAUGCUGAUAAAGUCCCAAGUUUGAUUUGUUGUUUCCCAGGAAACAAAAUUUCAGCAAAUAAGUUCAAGUGUCAGAGCAUGAAUUCUUCCUUAAGUUUGAAGAUAGCCCCAAAUGGGGGUAGUUGCAACAGAUUUUUGGUUUUUCUAUCUGCCUUGUGGUUGAUCUCACUCACUGCGAUUGGUUUGGAACUCUUGCAUAUAUUUGUGAGUACCAAUUUAGAGCCUCCGGUGGUGGCAACGGUGGAGUUUCAACUUCUCAAUUAUGUCAUCCAAAUGCAUAGUGGUGGACUCGAUUCAGCUUCAUUGUUUAGUUUCCAGCAUUGGUGUCAUCUGGUAUCUCAAUACUUGCUGCAUUUUCCUUCAAUGAUAUCUAGAUUCAUUAGAAAGAUUGGUUAUUUGUGCCACUGCUGAAUUAGAGCUUUAGCCAUAUAAGGAGGAGCACCUGAACUGUAAGAGCUUCAAUUUGUUUUGCUGAAUGUUUGCUUUGUACAAGUGUUUGAACUGAUAUUUGGUGACAAUGUAAGUUGUCAACAGAUUUGUGAACACAACUUCAAAGUAAUCUUUUGAGGCCCUUUCUGGGUUCUGGCAAUUCAAUCUUAGUGAAGAAAAUUUGCGAGAGAUCUCAAAACUUGUGGGAUGAAAACGUGGAUCUAGAUGCAACCUUCGGCAGUUUUCAUUCUCAAGCUAGAUUGGGUUAGUUCCAUGGUAGAGCCAUUGGAAUUGAUAGCUUCUUACCUUGGAUUUUGAUUGUCAUAUCAGUUUGGGCUGAAAUUUCUUUGUAUGUUACUGCCUCUCAUGUUGUUUGAGCAUUGCAGUAAGAGAUAUUAAGGUUCAUACUUGAAUUCUUUUUGGCAAUUGACUUGUCAUUCGUUGGUUUUGAUUCAUAGGAUCGGUGGUGUACAUCAUUCAGCCUAAAUUAUGUAGGUUCCACCAUUGGUGCUCAUGCGAUGGGCAAUUCCAUAAAACUUGGAUGAAAGUCAAGCCGGACACAGGUUCAAUACUCUACUGGAAUUGAAGUUGCAGAUUAUGGGUGGUUUUGAUAUCUUCUUUCUCACCAACAAAUGAAGUUCCCACAAAAUCCACAUUUAUUGAUGUGCCCUUAAUUGUGAAUUUGGUAAUGUGAAGGGAGUAAAGAUGGGAAUGGUUGAUGUAAGGAAAGCAGAUGAGGGAAUAAAUGUCAGAUGUUUGUAAGAAAGUUUAUCCCAUCCAGCUUUGCUUUCUGGAUUUUGGCCCUUGAGAGGAAGCAUAUGAUCUUGGAAUUUGGCAGAGAUGCUCUUAUCUCAAAACUCGUUGAAUGAAGACAUGGAGCCUGGAUGUUAUUUUCAAUGCCAACCCUAUCACAGUGUUCAUUCUCAAGCUAGAUUGAUGUUUACCCCAUAGAGGAACCCAACAUAAACACUUGGAAAAAAAAAUCCAAAUGAUUUUGAUUUAGUUGGAAUUUCAAAGUGAAGAGUAGGUUUCAUGGUACAACCAUUUUGUCAAGCAUAGCUGUCAAAUAUCUUGUAGAUAUACACUUUCCUAAGAAUAGGUUGCUGUAUUUUUAGGAUAUGAUUAGAUACUUUCCUUUGUUGUAUUUUAGGUUGUGAUUAGGGAUUUGAUUUGCUGUGAUUAAGUAAUUUAAUAUGCUGUACCAGUGCUAUAUAAUUUAAAGUUCAACUCAAUAAAAAGACACAGAAUUAUCUUGUUUUGUUA